CGAGCGCGAAUAGGGGCAACCCUUAGUAGAGCGGCGCACGGGUGCGUAACACGUGGAUAAUCUGCCUGGAUGCCUGGGAUAACCAGUCGAAAGAUUGGCUAAUACCGGAUAAGCCCACGGUCUCUUCGGAGACUGAGGGAAAAGGUGGCCUCUGUAUACAAGCUAUCACAACCAGAUGAGUCCGCGGCCCAUCAGCUAGUUGGCGGGGUAAUGGCCCACCAAGGCGACGACGGGUAGCUGGUCUGAGAGGACGAUCAGCCACACUGGAACUGAGACACGGUCCAGACUCCUACGGGAGGCAGCAGUGGGGAAUUUUGCGCAAUGGGCGAAAGCCUGACGCAGCAACGCCGCGUGUGUGAUGAAGGUCUUUGGAUUGUAAAGCACUUUCGACCGGGACGAAACCGUAAAGCCUAAUACGCUUUGCCUUGACGGUACCGGGAGAAGAAGCACCGGCUAACUCUGUGCCAGCAGCCGCGGUAAUACAGAGGGUGCAAGCGUUGUUCGGAAUUAUUGGGCGUAAAGCGCGUGUAGGCGGCUUUGCAAGUCGGGUGUGAAAGCCCUCAGCUCAACUGAGGAAGUGCGCCCGAAACUGCAGAGCUUGAGUGCCGGAGAGGGUGGCGGAAUUCCCCAAGUAGAGGUGAAAUUCGUAGAUAUGGGGAGGAACACCGGUGGCGAAGGCGGCCACCUGGACGGUAACUGACGCUGAGACGCGAAAGCGUGGGUAGCAAACAGGAUUAGAUACCCUGGUAGUCCACGCCGUAAACGAUGAGAACUAGGUGUCGUGGGGAGUUGACCCCCGCGGUGCCGUAGCUAACGCAUUAAGUUCUCCGCCUGGGAAGUACGGUCGCAAGACUAAAACUCAAAGGAAUUGACGGGGGCCCGCACAAGCGGUG
rnacentral:rRNA from 1 species